rnacentral:miRNA from 1 species
ACAUACAUACAUAUACACACACACGUAUGCAUAUACAUACAUACAUACAUACAUAUAUGUGUGUGUGUGUGUGUGUAUGUAUAUAUAUGUAUGUAU